UGGGGAAUAUUGCACAAUGGGCGCAAGCCUGAUGCAGCGACGCCGCGUGAAGGAUGAAGGUCUUCGGAUCGUAAACUUCUAUCAGCAGGGAAGAAACCAUGACGGUACCUGACUAAGAAGCCCCGGCUAACUACGUGCCAGCAGCCGCGGUAAUACGUAGGGGGCAAGCGUUAUCCGGAAUUACUGGGUGUAAAGGGUGCGUAGGCGGCGAUUUAAGUCAGAUGUGAAAACUCAGGGCUCAACCUUGAGACUGCAUCUGAAACUGAGUUGCUAGAGUGCAGGAGAGGAAAGCGGAAUUCCGAGUGUAGCGGUGAAAUGCGUAGAGAUUCGGAGGAACACCAGUAGCGAAGGCGGCUUUCUGGACUGUAACUGACGCUGAGGCACGAAAGCGUGGGGAGCGAACAGG
rnacentral:rRNA from 1 species